rnacentral:rRNA from 1 species
CCUACGGGCGGCAGCAGUGAGGAAUAUUGGUCAAUGGGCGGAAGCCUGAACCAGCCAAGUAGCGUGCGGGAUGAAGGCCCUACGGGUCGUAAACCGCUUUUGCACGGGGAUAACACCCUCCACUUGUGGAGGUCUGCAGGUACCGUGCGAUUAAGGGCCGGCUAAUUCCGUGCCAGCAGCCGCGGUAAUACGGAGGUGCCGAGCGUUAUCCGGCUUCAUUGGGCUUAAUGGGAGGGUAGGCGGGCGUCCAAGUCAGCUGUAAAAUCGGGCGGCUCAACCGCGCCCCGCAGUUGAAACUGGACGCCUUGAGGUCACGACAGGCAGGCGGAAUUCGUGGUGUAGCGGUGAAAUGCAUAGAGAUCACGAGGAACCCCGAUUGCGAAGGCAGCCUGCCGGGGUGCGACUGACGCUGAGGCUCGAAGGUGCGGGUAUCAAACAGGAUUAGAUACCCGAGUAGUC